GACGAACGCUGGCGGCGUGCUUAACACAUGCAAGUCGAACGGUGAACGAGGGAGCUUGCUCCCUCCGGAUCAGUGGCGAACGGGUGAGUAACACGUGAGCAAUCUGCCCCGAACUCUGGGAUAAGCGUUGGAAACGACGUCUAAUACCGGAUACGACGCGGGAGGGCAUCCUCUCCGCGUGGAAAGAACUUCGGUUCGGGAUGAGCUCGCGGCCUAUCAGCUUGUUGGUGAGGUAACGGCUCACCAAGGCGACGACGGGUAGCCGGCCUGAGAGGGUGACCGGCCACACUGGGACUGAGACACGGCCCAGACUCCUACGGGAGGCAACGGUGGGGAAUAUUGCACAAUGGGCGCAAGCCUGAUGCAGCAACGCCGCGUGAGGGACGACGGCCUUCGGGUUGUAAACCUCUUUUAGCAGGGAAGAAGCGAAAGUGACGGUACCUGCAGAAAAAGCACCGGCUAACUACGU
rnacentral:rRNA from 1 species